CUACGGGGCGCUGCAGUGAGGAAUAUUGGUCAAUGGGCGCGAGCCUGAGCCAGCCAUCCCGCGUGCAGGAUGACGGCCCUAUGGGUUGUAAACUGCUUUUCUAUGCCAAGAAACCUGAUUACGUGUAAUCAGUUGCCGGUAGCAUAGGAAUAAGCAUCGGCUAACUCCGUGCCAGCAGCCGCGGUAAUACGGAGGAUGCAAGCGUUAUCCGGAUUCAUUGGGUUUAAAGGGUGCGCAGGUGGGCUUGUAAGUCAGUGGUGAAAUGCUGCCGCUUAACGGUAGAACUGCCAUUGAUACUGGAGUCUUGAGUAUGGUUGAGGUAGGCGGAAUGUGUUGUGUAGCGGUGAAAUGCAUAGAUAUGACACAGAACGCCAAUUGCGAAGGCAGCUUACUAAGCCAUUACUGACGCUGAGGCACGAAAGCGUGGGGAGCGAACAGGAUUAGAUACCCGGGUAGUC
rnacentral:rRNA from 1 species